rnacentral:rRNA from 1 species
UAGGGAAUCUUCGGCAAUGGACGAAAGUCUGACCGAGCAACGCCGCGUGCGUGAAGAAGGUUUUCGGAUCGUAAAACUCUGUUGUUAGAGAAGAACAAGGACGUUAGUAACUGAACGUCCCCUGACGGUAUCUAACCAGAAAGCCACGGCUAACUACGUGCCAGCAGCCGCGGUAAUACGUAGGUGGCAAGCGUUGUCCGGAUUUAUUGGGCGUAAAGCGAGCGCAGGCGGUUUCUUAAGUCUGAUGUGAAAGCCCCCGGCUCAACCGGGGAGGGUCAUUGGAAACUGGGAGACUUGAGUGCAGAAGAGGAGGGUGGAAUUCCAUGUGUAGCGGUGAAAUGCGUAGAUAUAUGGAGGAACACCAGUGGCGAAGGCGGCUCUCUGGUCUGUAACUGACGCUGAGGCUCGAAAGCGUGGGGAGCAAACAGG